CACGAUACAAGCAUUCCAGUCCAUUACCCACCGUAUGAUAACGUCUGCUCCUUGGUUUGUUUCCAACUUUUCACUACACUCUGACCUAAAAAUUGAAUCAGUUGACCAAUUAGCCACCAAACAUUACAGAUCUUUCUACUCAAAACUACCUUCCCAUACUAACCCGUUAGUUUCUCAAAUCUCAUCUACUCAACCCAUUAAUUCCAUCCAUAGGCUCAAAAGAAAAUAUUGCAGAGAUUUGUUAACCUAAAAUAAAUUCUCGUUGGGUUCCAUCACUGGUUGGCUUCCCUCUUCAAAUUAUUCAAGUUGAACAUGUAC